UACGAAGGGGGCUAGCGUUGUUCGGAAUUACUGGGCGUAAAGCGCACGUAGGCGGAGAUUUAAGUCAGGGGUGAAAUGCCGAGGCUCAACCUCGGAACUGCCUUUGAUACUGGGUUUCUUGAGUCCGGAAGAGGUGAGUGGAACUGCGAGUGUAGAGGUGAAAUUCGUAGAUAUUCGCAAGAACACCAGUGGCGAAGGCGGCUCACUGGUCCGGAACUGACGCUGAGGUGCGAAAGCGUGGGGAGCAAACAGG
rnacentral:rRNA from 1 species